rnacentral:rRNA from 1 species
GACGAACCGAGCGAACGUUAUUCGGAAUCACUGGGCUUAAAGGGCGCGUAGGCGGGCGGCCAAGUCAGGGGUGAAAGCCCCCAGCUCAACUGGGGAAGUGCCUCUGAUACUGGUCAUCUCGAGGGAGACAGGGGUAAGCGGAACUGAUGGUGGAGCGGUGAAAUGCGUUGAUAUCAUCAGGAACACCGGUGGCGAAAGCGGCUUACUGGGUCUCAUCUGACGCUGAGGAACGAAAGCUAGGGGAGCGAACGGGG